CCUCACAGCCAUACCACUGAUCUCGUCCGAUCUUGGAAGCUAAGCAGAUUCGGCCUGGUUAGUACUUGGAUGGGAGAGUGCCUAGAAUACCAGGUGCUGUAAGCU
rnacentral:rRNA from 1 species